rnacentral:rRNA from 1 species
GAUGAACGCUGGCGGCGUGCCUAAUACAUGCAAGUCGAGCGAACAGACGAGGAGCUUGCUCCUCUGACGUUAGCGGCGGACGGGUGAGUAACACGUGGAUAACCUACCUAUAAGACUGGGAUAACUUCGGGAAACCGGAGCUAAUACCGGAUAAUAUAUUGAACCGCAUGGUUCAAUAGUGAAAGACGGUUUUGCUGUCACUUAUAGAUGGAUCCGCGCCGCAUUAGCUAGUUGGUAAGGUAACGGCUUACCAAGGCAACGAUGCGUAGCCGACCUGAGAGGGGGAUCGGCCGCACUGGAACUGAGACACGGUCCAGACUCCUACGGGAGGCAGCAGUAGGGAAUCUUCCGCAAUGGGCGAAAGCUUGGCGGAGCAACGCCGCGUGAGUGAUGAAGGUCUUCGGAUCGUAAAACUCUGUUAUUAGGGAAGAACAAAUGUGUAAGUAACUAUGCACGUCUUGACGGUACCUAAUCAGAAAGCCACGGCUAACUACGUG